CCCCUUUCAGGAUCGCAUCUAGAGAGUUUCCAAUACUCUACUAUAGUUUUGGCUACAGGAGGGAGAGUCAAGCAGAGGCCUACCCAUUCCAUUCUUAGCUUGGCCAGUGGCUAGUGAGUGGAAAGAAAUCUGCCACAAAU